GAUGAACGCUGACAGAAUGCUUAACACAUGCAAGUCUUUGGCGAAGCUGUGCUUGCACAGCCUAGCCAAGGCGGACGGGUGAGUAACGCGUAAGGAACUUGCCCUGCAGUCAGGGAUAACAGACGGAAACGACUGAUAAGACCUGGUAAAGUCAGGCGGACUCAUGUCCAGCCUGAUGAAAAGUGAUGCUGCAGGAGAGCCUUGCGUCCUAUUAGCUUGUUGGUGGGGUAACGGCCCACCAAGGCGAUGAUAGGUAGCCGGCCUGAGAGGGUGGACGGCCACAAGGGGACUGAGAUACGGCCCUUACUCCUACGGGAGGCAGCAGUGGGGAAUAUUGGACAAUGGGGGCAACCCUGAUCCAGCAAUUCUGUGUGCACGAUGAAGGUUUUCGGAUUGUAAAGUGCUUUCAGCAGGGAAGAAAAAAAUGACGGUACCUGCAGAAGAAGCGACGGCUAAAUACGUA
rnacentral:rRNA from 1 species